UAGAAACUUAGCUGCAAGCUCUAGAAAUAGAGCCGCCUUCGAGGGUGCUAAGCAGGUGCUGCAUGGUCGUCGUCAGCUCGUGCCGUAAGGUGUUCCCUUAAGUGGGGAAACGAGCGCAACCCUUGUCGUAUGUUAUAUAUGUCAUACGAGACUGCCCAGGCUUUAGUCUGUGAACGAAAGUUCGUAGUUUAAAGUCUGGGAGGAAGGAGAGGAUGACGUCAGAUCAGCAUGGCCCUUGACGUCCUGGGCAACACACGUGCUACAAUGGUUAGAAUAAAGGGUCGCCAAACCGCGAGGUGGAGCCAAUCCCAAAAAUCUAAUCUCAGUUCGGAUUGGAGUCUGCAACUCGACUCCAUGAAGUCGGAAUCACUAGUAAUCGUGAAUCAGAAUGUCACGGUGAAUACGUUCUCGGAUCUUGUACUCACCGCCCGUCAUACCAAGAGAGCUGGUAACACCCAAAGCUCCUGCAUAAAACCAGGGACAACGGUGGGAUCGGUAAUAAGGGUAAAGUCGUAACAAGGUA
rnacentral:rRNA from 1 species